AGAGUUUGAUCCUGGCUCAGGACGAACGCUGGCGGCGUGCUUAACACAUGCAAGUCGAACGGAAAGGCCCUGCUUUUGUGGGGUGCUCGAGUGGCGAACGGGUGAGUAACACGUGAGUAACCUGCCCUUGACUUUGGGAUAACUUCAGGAAACUGGGGCUAAUACCGGAUAGGAGCUCCUGCUGCAUGGUGGGGGUUGGAAAGUUUCGGCGGUUGGGGAUGGACUCGCGGCUUAUCAGCUUGUUGGUGGGGUAGUGGCUUACCAAGGCUUUGACGGGUAGCCGGCCUGAGAGGGUGACCGGCCACAUUGGGACUGAGAUACGGCCCAGACUCCUACGGGAGGCGGCAGUGGGGAAUAUUGCACAAUGGGCGGAAGCCUGAUGCAGCAACGCCGCGUGCGGGAUGACGGCCUUCGGGUUGUAAACCGCUUUCGCCUGUGACGAAGCGUGAGUGACGGUAAUGGGUAAAGAAGCACCGGCUAACUACGUG
rnacentral:rRNA from 1 species